GUUUCGAAUUCAUUCUUAGAAGGUUUGUGUUUUCGGCUUAAUUCUUUCUUUGAUGGAUAUGAGUUUGGGAUUGGAUUAGUGAGCUUCAGUGAUUGGGGAUUGUUGAUGAGUUUUUGUUGGGCUUCCUGCGCGCGUAUGCAUCCACUAUGAAACUGUCUCCAACAGAAUCUACUGCACAUUGCUUUAAUUUCAAAAGUUGAUGUUCUUCG
rnacentral:misc_RNA from 1 species